AGUGAACGCUGGCGGUAGGCCUAACACAUGCAAGUCGAACGGCAGCACAGUAAGAGCUUGCUCUUACGGGUGGCGAGUGGCGGACGGGUGAGGAAUACAUCGGAAUCUACUUUUUCGUGGGGGAUAACGUAGGGAAACUUACGCUAAUACCGCAUACGACCUACGGGUGAAAGCAGGGGAUCUUCGGACCUUUCGCGAUUGAAUGAGCCGAUGUCGGAUUAGCUAGUUGGCGGGGUAAAGGCCCACCAAGGCGACGAUCCGUAGCUGGUCUGAGAGGAUGAUCAGCCACACUGGAACUGAGACACGGUCCAGACUCCUACGGGAGGCAGCAGUGGGGAAUAUUGGACAAAGGGCGCAAGCCUGAUCCAGCCAUACCGCGUGGGUGAAGAAGGCCUUCGGGUUGUAAAGCCCUUUUGUUGGGAAAGAAAAGCAGCAGGUUAAUACCCCGCUGUUCUGACGGUACCCAAAGAAUAAGCACCGGCUAACUUCGUG
rnacentral:rRNA from 1 species